CUCCACAGGCAUUUCCCACCACAGCCUCCUUCCUCACGUCCCCUCGACCCAUCCCUCCACAGUCAGCACCAGCCCUCGCCCUGGGAUUGCUCCACAAUCCCCAAACUCCAGCUCCCAGCCGCUGCGCCUCCCAGGAGUCCCGCAUUCCUGUCCGGGAUUUUUAGGGAUGUCCCUGGUGGUCCAGCGGUGAAGAAUCUGCCUGCCAGUGCAGGGGACACGGGUUCGAUCCCUAGUCUGAGGAGAUCCCACAUGUCCCAGGGCAACUAAGUGUGUGCACUGCAACCACAGAGCCCAAGGGCCUAGCGCCUGCACACCACCGCAAGGGAAACCGCCACAACGGGAGACCAGCCCUGCUCCCUGCAACUAGAGAGGGCCCAUACACACCACCACAACAGGAGAUCAGCCCUGCUUCCUGCAACUGGAGAGAGCCCGUACACACCACCACAGGGGAAACCACCACAACCAGAGAUCAACUCUGCUCCCUGCGACUGGAAAGAGCCUGUACACACCACCGCAAGGGAAACCACCACAUCCAAAGAUCAGCCCUGCUUCCUGCAACUAGAGAGAGCCCAUACACACCACCACAGGAGAAACCACCACAUCCAGAGAUCAGCCCUGCUUCCUGCAACUAGAGAGGGCCCAUACACACCACCGCAAGGGAAACCACCACAUCCAGAGAUCAACUCUGCUCCCUGCAACUGGAGAGAGCCUGUACACACCACCACAGGGGAAACCGCCACAACCAGAGAUCAACUCUGCUCCCUGCAACUGGAGAGAGACUGUACACACCACCAGAAGGGAAACCGCCACAACGGGAGACCAGCCCCACUCCCUGCGACUGGAGAGGGCCCGUAAAGCAGCAAAGACCUAGGGUGGCCACAAAUUAAUUAAAAAUAAAGCAUACUGUCAUAUAA